UGAGGAAUAUUGGUCAAUGGACGCAAGUCUGAACCAGCCAUGCCGCGUGAAGGAUGAAGGCGUUCUGCGUUGUAAACUUCUUUUAUCUGGGAAGAAACCUCCGAUUUCUAUUGGAGCCGACGGUACCAGAGGAAUAAGCACCGGCUAACUCCGUGCCAGCAGCCGCGGUAAUACGGAGGGUGCAAGCGUUAUCCGGAUUCACUGGGUUUAAAGGGUGUGUAGGCGGGCUUUUAAGUCAGUGGUGAAAUCUCCGGGCUCAACCCGGAAACUGCCAUUGAUACUAUUAGUCUUGAAUAUUGUUGAGGUAGGCGGAAUAUGUCAUGUAGCGGUGAAAUGCUUAGAUAUGACAUAGAACACCGAUUGCGAAGGCAGCUUGCUAAACAAUUAUUGACGCUGAGGCACGAAAGCGUGGGGAUCAAACAGGAUUAGAUACCCUGGUAGUCCACGCCCUAAACGAUGAUUACUGGACAUUUGCGAUAUACAGUGAGUGUCUGAGCGAAAGCAUUAAGUAAUCCGCCUGGGAAGUACGUCCGCANGGAUG
rnacentral:rRNA from 1 species